CAGUCCAAUUCCACACAGGCUUAAUGUCAAUUUCCUGUUUGAUUCUGAUUACAAGGAGCUGCAGUCAGGUUCAGGUGAUUUAUCAACCAGAGAAAGUUCAGUAAUAAAUCAGACGAGAACCAUUUUAAAUAUUGAGAUAAUUUCAGGAUUCCUGUCAAAAAUAAGACCUGGAAAACUGAUGCAUGCUUUUAUUUUGUAGUAGAUUAGAUUAUAAUACAAAAAAAUCUUUUGUUGCUUUAGGUCAACGAAUCUCAAAACGUUAACUGAGCCAAUAUUUGACAACUUAAUAAACAAGGUUCAGUAAUGAAGCUUAGUCUGCAUGACAACAAUAUGUAGCCACAUUUAGAAGCAACUGGAUCUGAGGAAGUGUGAAUACUGGGAGACACAGGAAGGGAACUGGGACAACGAGGGAGGAGGAAUUUUUAAAAAAACGGGAUGGGAGGUGGAUUAGGGGGAUUAGACUUCAGGAUGAGUGAGUAGCUGGCUGGAAAAGGCUGACUCGGCACACACACACACACACACACACACACACAAAGUCGCCUGUCUGGUCACAUUACUCACACACACAUACAGAUAAGUCUCGAAGCCAUGUUGGGAUGACAAUGGGAGCAGCCGACAGACACUAAAGACAACCAGACUUCACUGGGCUGGCUGGGAAACACCCAGCAGCAGCCAACCCGUCUCCUCUGCUGUAGUAAAACUGAAACCAAACACGACCAGACAAAGGCUCGUCUCACCGACACAAACACUCCACCUACGAGCAAAUCUGCACCUCACGCGCCUUGCUUAAGCUGGAACGCCGCAUCACCAGUCUGGCUGGGUCUGGGACCAGCGGCGGUGAUGGGACGGACUGGGGGGUCCGAACGCUGCUGGAAUCCUGACAUUUAAAGCAAACCCACAGACAUGGUGCUGAUAUGCGGCGCUGCAGCAGCCAAACCCCAAACAGCCUCACAUGAUGCAGCAGAAAAAUAUCUGAACGACACAGAGGAGACGUCCAGUCAGAAAACUGAUUUUUACUUCAUUAUGGUUUGGAUUAAUUUCUGGUAAUAAAGACUUUGUGCUUUUCUUAUUUACUAUGUAAUUAAGGAGAAAGUAUUGCGUAUUUUCCAGCCACAUGGAGCCAUUUUAAAGCUCAAUCAAGUAACUAUCAGUUGUUAUAAAAAUGCUGUAAUAUCAAAUGUGACAAAGAAAUGUGACUUUGUAAAGUAACGCCCGUCUCUUUAAAAACUCUGCCUUCAGGAAGUCAUCACAACAUGAUGGAUAUAUGGAUAAAAAACUAAAGAUUG